rnacentral:rRNA from 1 species
UACGAAGGGGGCUAGCGUUGUUCGGAAUUACUGGGCGUAAAGCGCACGCAGGCGGACUGAUUAGUCAGGGGUGAAAUCCCGGGGCUUAACCCCGGAACUGCCUUUGAUACUGUCAGUCUCGAGUCCGGGAGAGGUGAGUGGAAUUCCUAGUGUAGAGGUGAAAUUCGUAGAUAUUAGGAAGAACACCAGUGGCGAAGGCGGCUCACUGGCCCGGUACUGACGCUCAGGUGCGAAAGCGUGGGGAGCAAACAGG